rnacentral:rRNA from 1 species
GAUUAAGUUAUUAAGGGCGCACGGUGGAUGCCUUGGCACUAGAAGCCGAUGAAGGACGUUACUAACGACGAUAUGCUUUGGGGAGCUGUAAGUAAGCUUUGAUCCAGAGAUUUCCGAAUGGGGAAACCCAGCAUGAGUUAUGUCAUGUUAUCGAUAUGUGAAUACAUAGCAUAUCAGAAGGCACACCCGGAGAACUGAAACAUCUUAGUACCCGGAGGAAGAGAAAGAAAAUUCGAUUCCCUUAGUAGCGGCGAGCGAAACGGGAAGAGCCCAAACCAACAAGCUUGCUUGUUGGGGUUGUAGGACACUCUAUACGGAGUUACAAAGGACGACAUUAGACGAAUCAUCUGGAAAGAUGAAUCAAAGAAGGUAAUAAUCCUGUAGUCGAAAAUGUUGUCUCUCUUGAGUGGAUCCUGAGUACGACGGAGCACGUGAAAUUCCGUCGGAAUCUGGGAGGACCAUCUCCUAAGGCUAAAUACUCUCUAGUGACCGAUAGUGAACCAGUACCGUGAGGGAAAGGUGAAAAGCACCCCGGAAGGGGAGUGAAAUAGAACCUGAAACCGUGUGCUUACAAGUAGUCAGAGCCCGUUAAUGGGUGAUGGCGUGCCUUUUGUAGAAUGAACCGGCGAGUUACGAUUUGAUGCAAGGUUAAGCAGUAAAUGUGGAGCCGUAGCGAAAGCGAGUCUGAAUAGGGCGUUUAGUAUUUGGUCGUAGACCCGAAACCAGGUGAUCUACCCUUGGUCAGGUUGAAGUUCAGGUAACACUGAAUGGAGGACCGAACCGACUUACGUUGAAAAGUGAGCGGAUGAACUGAGGGUAGCGGAGAAAUUCCAAUCGAACCUGGAGAUAGCUGGUUCUCUCCGAAAUAGCUUUAGGGCUAGCCUCAAGUGAUGAUUAUUGGAGGUAGAGCACUGUUUGGACGAGGGGCCCCUCUCGGGUUACCGAAUUCAGACAAACUCCGAAUGCCAAUUAAUUUAACUUGGGAGUCAGAACAUGGGUGAUAAGGUCCGUGUUCGAAAGGGAAACAGCCCAGACCACCAGCUAAGGUCCCAAAAUAUAUGUUAAGUGGAAAAGGAUGUGGCGUUGCCCAGACAACUAGGAUGUUGGCUUAGAAGCAGCCAUCAUUUAAAGAGUGCGUAAUAGCUCACUAGUCGAGUGACACUGCGCCGAAAAUGUACCGGGGCUAAACAUAUUACCGAAGCUGUGGAUUGUCCUUUGGACAAUGGUAGGAGAGCGUUCUAAGGGCGUUGAAGUAUGAUCGUAAGGACAUGUGGAGCGCUUAGAAGUGAGAAUGCCGGUGUGAGUAGCGAAAGACGGGUGAGAAUCCCGUCCACCGAUUGACUAAGGUUUCCAGAGGAAGGCUCGUCCGCUCUGGGUUAGUCGGGUCCUAAGCUGAGGCCGACAGGCGUAGGCGAUGGAUAACAGGUUGAUAUUCCUGUACCACCUAUAAUCGUUUUAAUCGAUGGGGGGGACGCAGUAGGAUAGGCGAAGCGUGCGAUUGGAUUGCACGUCUAAGCAGUAAGGCUGAGUAUUAGGCAAAUCCGGUACUCGUUAAGGCUGAGCUGUGAUGGGGAGAAGACAUUGUGUCUUCGAGUCGUUGAUUUCACACUGCCGAGAAAAGCCUCUAGAUAGAAAAUAGGUGCCCGUACCGCAAACCGACACAGGUAGUCAAGAUGAGAAUUCUAAGGUGAGCGAGCGAACUCUCGUUAAGGAACUCGGCAAAAUGACCCCGUAACUUCGGGAGAAGGGGUGCUCUUUAGGGUUAACGCCCAGAAGAGCCGCAGUGAAUAGGCCCAAGCGACUGUUUAUCAAAAACACAGGUCUCUGCUAAACCGUAAGGUGAUGUAUAGGGGCUGACGCCUGCCCGGUGCUGGAAGGUUAAGAGGAGUGGUUAGCUUCUGCGAAGCUACGAAUCGAAGCCCCAGUAAACGGCGGCCGUAACUAUAACGGUCCUAAGGUAGCGAAAUUCCUUGUCGGGUAAGUUCCGACCCGCACGAAAGGCGUAACGAUUUGGGCACUGUCUCAACGAGAGACUCGGUGAAAUCAUAGUACCUGUGAAGAUGCAGGUUACCCGCGACAGGACGGAAAGACCCCGUGGAGCUUUACUGUAGCCUGAUAUUGAAAUUCGGCACAGCUUGUACAGGAUAGGUAGGAGCCUUUGAAACGUGAGCGCUAGCUUACGUGGAGGCGCUGGUGGGAUACUACCCUAGCUGUGUUGGCUUUCUAACCCGCACCACUUAUCGUGGUGGGAGACAGUGUCAGGCGGGCAGUUUGACUGGGGCGGUCGCCUCCUAAAAGGUAACGGAGGCGCUCAAAGGUUCCCUCAGAAUGGUUGGAAAUCAUUCAUAGAGUGUAAAGGCAUAAGGGAGCUUGACUGCGAGACCUACAAGUCGAGCAGGGUCGAAAGACGGACUUAGUGAUCCGGUGGUUCCGCAUGGAAGGGCCAUCGCUCAACGGAUAAAAGCUACCCCGGGGAUAACAGGCUUAUCUCCCCCAAGAGUUCACAUCGACGGGGAGGUUUGGCACCUCGAUGUCGGCUCAUCGCAUCCUGGGGCUGUAGUCGGUCCCAAGGGUUGGGCUGUUCGCCCAUUAAAGCGGUACGCGAGCUGGGUUCAGAACGUCGUGAGACAGUUCGGUCCCUAUCCGUCGUGGGCGUAGGAAAUUUGAGAGGAGCUGUCCUUAGUACGAGAGGACCGGGAUGGACAUACCUCUGGUGUACCAGUUGUCGUGCCAACGGCAUAGCUGGGUAGCUAUGUGUGGACGGGAUAAGUGCUGAAAGCAUCUAAGCAUGAAGCCCCCCUCAAGAUGAGAUUUCCCAACUUCGGUUAUAAGAUCCCUCAAAGAUGAUGAGGUUAAUAGGUUCGAGGUGGAAGCAUGGUGACAUGUGGAGCUGACGAAUACUAAUCGAUCGAAGACUUAAUCAA